CCCGCAUCACACCCCCCCCCUCCGGCCCCAUGUCCAGUGGCACUGGAACAAUCUGUACAGUGGGGAACUGAGAGCCAUUGACCCAAACUGUAACCCUAGAGAUAAUGGAAACCACUUCAAGCCCGGCCUAGCUCCAGCCCCUACUCUCACACUAGCCUCAAGGGCCCCCACUCCUGGCUCACGCCAACCCCCUGCCCCCAUCCCGGGUCACGCUAAUCCCCUGCCCCCAUCCCGGGUCACGCUAAUCCCCUGCCCCCAUCCUGGGUCAGGCUGACGCCCUUCCCCCCAUCCCGGGUCACGCUAAUCCCCUGCCCCCAUCCCAGGUCACGCUAAUCCCCUGCCCCCAUCCCGGGUCACGCCAACCCCCUGCCCCCAUCCUGGGUCAGGCUGACGCCCUUCCCCCCAUCCUGGCUCACGCCAACUCCCUUCCCCCAUCCCGGGUCACGCCAACCCCCUGCCCCCAUCCCGGGUCACGCCAACCCCCUGCCCCCAUCCCGGGUCACGCCAACCCCCUGGCCCUCAUGGCCACUGACCAGCAAUCCCUGCCUCCCAGGCGUCAAGCUCCCCUCACAGCCACCCACCUCACGGUCACAGCAACCCCCAGUCACAGCCACCCCCCCUCAGAGCCACCAAUCCCCCCUCACAGCUGCCCCCAUCAUGCCAACCCCCACCUUGCAGCCAGUAGCCUCCCCCCAUAGCCAUCCCCCCUUCACGCCAACCCUGCCCUUGCAGCCACCCCCUGGGUCACACCAACCCCCCCGCCAGCCAUCCCCCCGUCAUGCCAACCCCGCUCUCACAAUCGCCCCCCUGGUCACACCAAACCCCAACUCGCAGCCACCAAGCUUCCCUCACAGCCACCCCCCUGGGUCAUGCCAAUCCCCCGCCCCCGAGGUUGUAUUUUCCUUGACCUCCCCUCCCCUCAGCCCCUGCAGCGCUCACCCCCGACCAGGAGUGCCAUGGGCUCUGGGAGCCACCCGUGGGUGUGCCCGCGCCAGGGGUGCUGAGUGGGAAGCUCCCACAAUCCCUUGGGGCCGCCAUGUCCUUCAGCGCCACCAUCCUCUUCUCACCUCCCGGCACCCAGGAGGCCACAGGCUGCUGCUGCGCCUGCAAGCGGGAGCCGGGGGCGGAGGGGGCGGGCGGUGCCCCCCCGCCCCCCUGCGCCCCCAUCAGCGUCUCGGGACACGGGCUGGCGGUGCAGAGCUCCGAGCAGCUGCUGCACGUCAUCUACCAGCGCCUGGACAAGGCCGUGGGGCUGGCCGAGGCCGCCCUGGCCCUGGCCAAGGCCAACAACCAGGCCCUGCGGCGGCUGGAGGAGGAGGUGGGGGGGCUGCGAAGGGAGGCGCACCCAAGCGGCAAGGCCAGCCCCCCCCCGCCGGCGGCCCAGGAGCAGGAGGUGGAGGCUGAAGGCUUGGGGAGCAGCGUCCAAGUGGUGAUCGAGGAGCUGAGGCAGCUAGGGGCAGCGGCAGGGCCGCCCGGACGCCUGGGUUUCUCACCGGUGCAGCCUGGAGACUCGGGACUGGGUGGGCCUGUGGGGGAGCUGUCGCCCUCAGGCUCCGAGGAGCCGCCCCCCUGCGCUGCCCUAGAGGAUGGCGGCCCCGGGGAGCCCCGUUUCUCACUGGGGUUCAUCAGCAGCCCCUGCCGCAGCCGGGGCAAUGGGCCCAAGAACGCCCGGCGCAAGAGGGACCUGGUGCUGUCGAAACUUGUCCAUAACGUCCACAACCACAUCACCAACCAGAGGAGAUUCAACGGCUCGGAGAGCAUCAAGUCUUCCUGGAACAUUGGGGUGGUGAAAUUCCUCUUGGAGAAACUGAGGCACGAACUGAUGAUGAGUCAGCACAACUACACCGACAAGGAACUGAAGGGUGCCUGCGUGGCGUACUUCCUGACCAAGCGGCGUGAGUAUCGCAACUCCCUGAACCCCUUCAAGGGGCUGAAGGAAAAGGAGGAGAAGAAACUGCGGAGCCGGCGCUACCGGCUCUUCGCCAACCGGGCGGGCGUGGCGCGGCUGCUGGGCCCCGAGGAGCAGCGCCUGUGGCGGGGCGUGACGGAGGAGCUCAUGUCGGACGAGGAGGACAGCCCGAGCGAGCCGGGGGUGUGGGUGGCUCGGUCCCCCCGCUUCCGUGCCGCCCCCCUCACCCAGCUCUGCUACCGCCUGGACAUCAACGCCAAGCACGGCGCCAAGGCCAACCGGGUCUACGGGCCGCCCUCCGAGCGCCUGCCCUCCGCCGAGGCCCAGCUCCUGCCCCCCCACCUCUACGACCCCCGCUUCCAGGAGCCUGAGGAGGGGGGGGACUCCAGCUCUGCCCCUGUCCCCCCACCCCACAAGGCCUUCUGCCCUGACCUCCGCCCCUUCCUCGAGGUCAAGGUGGAGAAGGAUGAGUGAGCCGGGACAGCUGCCCACACCCAAGAUGGCCGCCGCGGGGGCCAGCGACCCUCCCGACGUGGGCUCAAGGUGGAGAACGCUGAUGGACCCAAGAUGGCUGCUGGAGGACUCUGGGGGAAUGGGGACAGGAAAUGGGGCAACAAGGUGGAGAGAGAUGAGUGAGCCAAGAUGGCUGCCAUGCAUCCAAGAUGGCUGCCGCACAUUCAGCAUGGUUGCCUCCCAGCAAGAUACCACCAGUGGGCUGUGAGGGGGCGGGAGCUGCAACGUCCCCCCCCCCCCACCUCAGUGCUGCCAGGGAUCCUGGGGAAGGAUAAGUGAGCCAAGAUGGCCACUGCAGAUUGGGGGGGCAGGGCUGUGGAAUGCCCCUCCCCCAACCUCAGGGUGGAGACAGAUGAGAACUUGGGGGACAAAAAGGGGGAGCCAAGGCGGCUGCUCCACAUCCAAGAUGGCCGCCCUGCACACAAGAUGGCCACUGUGGGGAAAGGGAACAGACCACCCCCAGCCCCACUGGGCCUGAUCUCAUGGUGGAGGAGGAUGAAAGACGGGGGCGCCAGAAAUGCUGGUGUCCCCCAAGGAACUGGGGGGGGCAGUGUCAAGGGGGGAGUCCCCUGAAAUACGAGGCCUUUUCACUCUCACACCCUGCCUCAGUAUCUCCUUUCGCUGCGGGCUCUACUGCUUCUCUGUGCCAGGACGCCUGGGUUCUCUGCGCUGGGGGAGGGGAGAGGUGAUGGGGGUGGGAGUAAGGACGCCUGGGUUCUCUCCCGGCAGGGUUGGGGGAUCGGGGAGGGGGGUGUUCAGGGGGGUCUGAGGCCAGGCCUGGCUUGGGCACCUCCAGGCUGGGCCCUUCCCCUGGCAGACACUGGGGUUGCCCAUUCUGCCCCCACUUCUCCGCUCCCAGAAUACCCUGCCUGUGCAAAAUUAGCAUAUGCAAAUCAUACAUUUGACUAUAUUACUGGUACUAAACAGGCCUCCCUCUGCCCCCGCCAUUGCCUGGGAAACCCCCCGCUCAGGGAGGGGCAGGGCCCAUGGCUGGCUGGGGGAAGGGCAGGGUGAGGGUCAUGGGGCAGCCCUGGCAGGGCCCUCAGUAGGGGGCAGAGGGAGGAAGGGGGCAGCAAGUACCAUGUGGUGGGGGGGAGGAGGCCUGAGCUAGCCCCUCCCCUGCUGUGUACCCCCGCCCCCCUCAGCCCCUCCCCU